rnacentral:lncRNA from 1 species
AAGGAAAAAUAAGAGAAGAUCUUUCUUUCUCUCUCUUCAUUCAUUCUCUCUGAAUCAACUUAGGGUUUUCAUUUCAAUUUCAUCAAAUCAAGCUCGAUUUCGAGCUUAACAUGGUAUCAGACCCAGGUUUCUGGUAGAGUUCGAUGUGCGUUUUCAACCGAUACUACCAUCAAAUGGAGUUUCUCAAGUUUUCGUGAUGGUAGAAACUCGUUCAUCACAGAAUUAGUGAUGCACAAGACCUGUUCUUCUUUAGGGAUAAGAGAAAGACUGGUAAUCCCUUUCCAAAUCUCUUAUAUCUGAGGUGAAACUUCUCAUAUCGUGUUCGUAUAUUCUGAUUUUUGUGGAUAUUCAUCUAUUGUAUGUGUAUUGUAAGGAUUUCACUCAGUAUGUUGCACAUCUUGGUGUAUUGGUGUACUCUACUGUAGUUUGUGGGUAUAUCUGCGUAUUAUUUUGUGUAUCUUGGUGUAUUUGUGCACUCUACUGUAGUUCGUGGGUAUAUCUGCGUAUUAUUUUGUGUAUCUUGGUGUAUUUAUGCACUCUACUGUAGUUCGUGGGUAUAUCUGCGUAUUUGACAUGGCAAACCCUACUAAUGGGAAUUCAAACACUACAAAUAGGACUUCAACGACACAUACUGGGUUUAAGGAUUUCACUCUGGAUCCCUCACACCCGUAUUAUAUACAUCCCUCUAAGAAUCCUACAUCUCAAGUAGUUCCUCUCAUCUUCAAUGGGAAUGGUUAUGCUAUUUGGAGAAAUAGUAUGAUCACUUUACUAUCAGCCAAGAAUAAGUUAGGUAUGGUGAAUGGUAUAUUUUCUAGACCUGAGCCCAACAAUCCUUACUUCUUUUUCUGGGAGAGAUACGACCACAUGGUCAAAGCAUGGAUCAUUAAUUCUUUGACUAGAGAGAUAACUGUCAGUGUAAUGUGUCUGUCCAGUGCUAGAGAUGUAUGGAAAGACAUAAGUGAUAGAUUUGGGCAAUCAAACGGGUCUAGGUACAUACAUAUUUAGAGAGAAAUCAAUUCUACAGUUCAAGGUUCUUCUAUGUUGGACCCAAAUGUACUUGUGGAGUAUUGAGCAAAUUCAUCCAAGAUCAACAAUUGUUUCAAUUCCUCAGUGGAUUAAAUAAGACAUAUAAUACUAUUGGAGCAAUACUCUGAUGAUGACACCUUUACCAUCAAUUGGCAAAGUAUAUGGACUCCUUCAGCAAGAUGAGAGUCAAAAGAAAACCCAGCCUGGAAUUCCUAAUUUCUCCAGUGACUCAGUCUCAUUUCAUGUCUCAACUCACACUCCUAAAAUCUUCAAUCAGAAGGUUUCUUUCAAUUCUAACAAGACUCAAAAUGUGCCUGUAACAUGCAAGUAUUGCAAGAAAACUGGGCACACUAUUGAAUCAUAUUACAGACUCCAUGGAUUUCCAGCUGAUUUCAAGUUCACAAAGAACAAGAAACCAGCUGCUUCUUGUGUGCAAGGGAUGCCUAACACUGGUCCAUCUAGUGUCACAUCUACCCCUACUGCAUCACCUUUACAGGACUCACCCCAUGGUUUUACUAAAGAACAAUACAAUCAUCCCAUGACUUUGUUCCAACAAGCUAAAGUAUUUUCUCAUGGUCAUGAACAACCACCUGCUACUGGUGAAGCAUCUAGCUUUGCAAAUUUUGCAGGUUUAUCAAAUAGCUCUGUGUUUGCUUCUGAUGGUUAUAGUGCAUAUAGAUCCUCAGACUUAGGAAUAAAUCCUUGGAUUUAGACUCGGGUGCUUCAAACCAUAUGACUACUCAUUAGCAUUUAUUACACAACUUACAACCUCUCCCCAUUCCUUUUCUAAUCACUCUACCUAAUGUAUAUAAAGUUAAGGUGAUAUCUACUGGUUCUCUAUAUCUGAGAGAUGACAUUACCUUACAAAAUGUCCUACUAGUCCCUUCAUUCCAGUUCAAUCUUCUUUUUGCAUUUCAACUUCUUAAUCAAUUAAAAUACUUAGCAGUUUUUUCCACUUCUGCUUGUCAAUUGCAGGGCCCUUCUCUGAAGAAGCCACUGGAAAUUGGUAAAGCUUCAGAUGGGCUGUAUUACUACUACACUGACAGCAUUCUACCAUCAGUUCCCAUUUCUUUUUGUUCUGAUUUCUCCAAUAUUCAAAAUAAUGUACAGUUUUCUAGUGAUAAAAAUUUUCUACUGUCUUGUAAUUCUUCCUGCAAUAAUAAUGACAUGGUUCUGUUUUGGCACCAAAGGUUAGGCCAUAUUCCUUACCACAAGAUGAGACUUAUUCCUUUCCUGUAUUCUAAACUACCUUCUCAUAAAAAUGUUUUGUGUGAUAUUUGUCCUAAAGCAAGGUAACAAAGACUUUCUUUCCUCAUAGUGAUAUUCAUACCACAGUCCCUUUUCAAUUAGUAAAUAUAGAUAUAUGGGGUCCUUACCACACUAGAACUUUCAAUGGUUUUAGAUACUUCCUUACAGUAGUAGAUGACUUCACAAGAGUUACAUGGACACAUCUACUUUCCUGCAAAAACAAUGCUUUACCUAUUUUUAAGGCUUUUGUUUCCAGGGUAAAAGUACAUUUUCAUACCUCUGUUCAGUUUUUUAGGUCUGAUAAAGCUUAUGAAUUAGGAAGUAGUACAGAAGCUGCUUCUUUCUUUGCAGAAAAUGGCAUUCUUUAUCAAUUAACCAUUCCUCACACACCACAACAAAAUGGUGUUGUGGAAAGGAAACACAAACACCUACUUGAAACCUCCAGAGCUUUACUUUUUCAAUCUCAUCUUCUACUCAAAUACUGGGGUGAUUGUAUUUUGAAAGCUACCUACCUAAUUAAUAGACUUCCUUCCUCAGUAUUGAACAAACUUUCACCCUAUGAGAAUCUUCAUGGAACCCCUCCCUCUUAUGGUCAUCUCAAAUCAUUUGGUUGUUUAUGCUAUGCUCAUUCUUCCACUAUUGGGAAAGAUAAAUUCCAACCCAGAUCUUUGGCUUGUGUUUUUAUUGGAUACCCUUGUGGAAAGAAGGGAUAUAAAUUGCUCAACCUUACCGCUCAUUCUAUCUUCUUCUCCAGAGAUGUUAUUUUCCAUGAACAUUUCUUUCCUUACUCCUCUUCUAUCCCUCCUUAUCCUUAUGAACCUAGUGUUUCUGUUCUGGAUAUACCUCCACCUUCUUACACCAUUUCUAUUUCUUUUGAAUCUCCUGUUUCUUCUGAACAACAACACCCUUCUCCUUCUGUUGUUCCCCCUGUUAGAAGGUCCUCCAAAUCCUACUUUAUCCCUUCUUACUUAUCAGAUUAUGUCUGCAAUUCAAUAUCCAAGGUUUCCUCUAUUAAGGCUCCUAUACUUGAACCUCAGGUCUAUCAUCAGGAUAUUUUUCAUCCUGCCUGGCAGGAUGCCAUGCUUCAAGAAUUUCAUGCUCUUGAAGCAAGUAACACUUGGGAUAUAGUUCCCUUGCCUCCUCACAAGAAACCCAUUUCAAGUAAGUGUGUCUACAAAAUUAAACACAAGUCUGAUGGCUCUGUGGAAAGAUACAAAGCUAGACUAGUUAUUUGAGGUGAUACUCAACAGGAGGGCAUUGACUACACUAAGACUUUCUCUCAUGUGGUUAAAUUCUCCACCAUUAAAGUCCUUCUCUUUAUUGUUGUCAAGAAAAAUUGGACUGUUUAUCAACUUGAUGAGAAUAAUUCUUUCCUUCAUGGUGAUCUCCAUGAAGAGGUGUACAUGAAGCCUCCUCUUGGCAUGGCAUUUUCUUCUUCUGUGCCUACUUUUGCACCUUUGAUUUGCAAGUUAAACAAGUCUUUAUAUGACCUCAAGCAGGACUCCAGACAGUGGUUUUCCAAGCUGUCUGAUGCAUUAUCCCUUUGUGGCUAUUCAUCCAGUAAGAAUGACUAUUCUUUAUUCACCAAAAGGGUUAAUAGACCCCUUACUGUUCUAGCUGUUUAUGUUGACAAUAUCCUUCUUGCUGGGGAUGAUAUAUCUGAGAUGGAUGAUUUGAAAUUAUUUCUGGACACACAGUUCAAGAUCAAGGAUCUUGGUUUAGUCCAUUAUUUUCUGGGUUUGGAAAUGUCUAUUCAUCCUAAAGGCUACCUUAUGACCCAGCAAAAAUUUACUUCUGAUCUAUUGGCUGAAUUCUAUUAUGAUCAGUUUUUCCCUGUCUCUGCUCCUCUUGAUGCUUCUCAGAAACUUACUACUGAUAUGGGGGCCCCUUUCACUGAUCCUUCUACUUUUUGUCACCUAGUUGGCAAACUGAAUUUUCUUCAGCACAUGAGGCCUGAUGUUUUUUUUGCUGUUCAGUAUUUGAGCCUGUUCUUGCAGGCUCAUCAGGUUCCUCACCUUAUGGCUGGCAUUCAUGUCUUGAAAUAUUUACUUAAUGCUCCUACCUUGGGGUUGCUGUUUAAUAACUCCUUGGAUUAUUCUUUGUUGGCUUACUUUGACUCUGAUUGGGCUGCGUGUGCUGAUUCACGCUGCUAAGUCAUUGGUUUUUUCAUUACUUUGGGUGGUUCUCUCAUAUCUUGGAAGAGCAAGAAGCAGCCUACCAUUGCUCUUUCAUCUGCUGAAGUUGAAUAUCAUGCUCUCCGCAAAGUUGUAGCUGAACUAUCAUGGUUGGUGCGUCUAUUACAUGAUUUUGAUAUUGAUGUUUCUAAUCCUGUUCCUGUAUAUUGUGACAGUCAGAUUGCUCUGUACAUAGCUUGAAAUCCAUUUUUUCAUGAACGUACCAAGCAUAUCGAGAUAGAUUGCCAUUUUGUUCGUGAUUGUAUUCAUUCUGGCCUUGUUUCUCUUCAGUUCAUCUCUUCUACAGACCAGCUAGCUGAUGUCUUCACUAAAUCACUGCCAGGUCCAGCUCAUCACAGUAUACUCAGCAAGCUUGGAGUGCUCAUCACAUCCUCCAGCUUGAGGGGAGGUGUUGGAGUUACGUAGUAAAUAUGUAUAUUGUUUGUGCAAUUCAUAUCACAAUGUAUAUGCUUGUAUUUUUGGUCUCAGUUGUUCAAUUGGGUUUAAUGCAUAAACUGGCCCAAUCUAUUGAUACAUACGAAUUAGGCCCAUUCAGUUGUAAGUUUCCAUGACCCGGUGCACUAUCACCAAGUAUAAAUAAUAGUGGACCAGUUCUGGAUAAUUUGAAGGAAAAAUAAGAGAAGAUCUUUCUUUCUCUCUCUUUGUUCAUUCUCUCUGAAUCAACUUAGGGUUUUCAUUUCAAUUUCAUCAAAUCAAGCUCGAUUUCGAGCUUAACAGGUCGAAGCCCAAGAAGCUUAGUGAGCUGAUAGUCGGCCCCAGGCAUGCCCACACCACUAGUAGUGCAAAACACCAAAUAUGUAAUCUUCGAUUUGGGCUGGCCUCAUUCUUCAAUAGCCUUUUGGGCUGCUUCUUUGCCAAGUUUUGGAAUUUCAACCACCACUAUAUCUUGCCUAGCAUCAAGAGAAGGAGCCAUGUAUUCACAAAUAUUAGGAUUUUCUUUUAGGAUUUCUUCUGUUAAAUGCAUAUAGCUCUUCUUUAUCAUUGAUUUAUCAUCUUCAUUAAGUGGAAAACUCAACUAAAGAAACAAUAAUCUGUGUACUUAAUUUUUUUUUUUUGAAAAAAUUAAAAAAAAUUGAAACUUUGGCUGAACAUAUAUGGGUUAAAUUAACAAAAAAACGAAGUGGG